rnacentral:lncRNA from 1 species
CAGGAAGGCUUUAUCAGUUCUGAUGGUGAUGGAUGUGAAGAUGCGGAUGAGUGUCUGCAUGUCAGCAUAGUCUGUGACCCACCAACUCUGUGGGGACAUAGGACUGUCCCUGUGAAGAAAGCUACAGAAUUGGAAGUGAUGGAAAAACUUGUACAUCCUUAGAUGAUGGUGAGCUGGAGGAAGAAGAAGAGGAAUUAGAAGUUGUAAGGUUUCCAGGCCUUCUAUUCAAGAGCCCACCUCAACUGCUUCAUGAUGUCGCUACCUCUCUGCCUCCCACCAUGAAGGUGAAGAAGAUGAGGAGGAUGAGGAAACACAUAUUUGAGGGGAACUGAAUGCUUUGAGCAAAAUUGAUAAAGGGUUUCAUUCCCAUUUUCAGUGAUGUAGACAGUAUGGGCCAACUAAGAUGGUAUCAUAGUUCCAUUGGUGAAAAUCACAUCUUCAUACACAAUUGCACUGUGAGCUGUGAGGACCUUAUGAAUGGG